rnacentral:rRNA from 1 species
GCCUGGUAGUGGGGGAUAACGCUCGGAAACGGACGCUAAUACCGCAUACGUCCUACGGGAGAAAGCAGGGGACCUUCGGGCCUUGCGCUAUCAGAUGAGCCUAGGUCGGAUUAGCUAGUUGGUGAGGUAAUGGCUCACCAAGGCGACGAUCCGUAACUGGUCUGAGAGGAUGAUCAGUCACACUGGAACUGAGACACGGUCCAGACUCCUACGGGAGGCAGCAGUGGGGAAUAUUGGACAAUGGGCGAAAGCCUGAUCCAGCCAUGCCGCGUGUGUGAAGAAGGUCUUCGGAUUGUAAAGCACUUUAAGUUGGGAGGAAGGGCAUUAACCUAAUACGUUGGUGUCUUGACGUUACCGACAGAAUAAGCACCGGCUAACUCUGUGCCAGCAGCCGCGGUAAUACAGAGGGUGCAAGCGUUAAUCGGAAUUACUGGGCGUAAAGCGCGCGUAGGUGGUUCGUUAAGUUGGAUGUGAAAUCCCCGGGCUCAACCUGGGAACUGCAUUCAAAACUGACGAGCUAGAGUAUGGU